AGCAGCCGCGGUAAUUCCAGCUCCAAUAGCGUAUAUUAAAGUUGUUGCAGUUAAAAAGCUCGUAGUUGAAUUUCGGGACCAAUAUGUCGGUCGUGCCUCGGUACGUACUGGUGUCAUUGGUUUCUCCCUUCUGAGGAUCCUUGAUGUCAUUAAUUUGGUGUCUUGGGGAAUCAGGACUGUUACCUUGAAAAAAAUUAGAGUGUUUAAAGCAGGCAUACGCUUGAAUACAUUAGCAUGGAAUAAUGAAAUAGGACGUUCGAUUCUAUUUUGUUGGUUUCUAGGAUCGACGUAAUGAUUAAUAGGGAUAGUUGGGGGCAUUAGUAUUCAAUUGUCAGAGGUGAAAUUCUUGGAUUUAUUGAAGACUAACUACUGCGAAAGCAUUUGCCAAGGAUGUUUUCAUUAAUCAAGAACGAAAGUUAGGGGAUCGAAGACGAUCAGAUACCGUCGUAG
rnacentral:rRNA from 1 species